AGCCGGGCUGCAGCGGCCCGAGGCGCGCACCCCCUCCCGGCCGCCCGGAGAUGCUCGCGAGCCCCGGCGCCUCCUCUCGUCCGGAGCCCCGUGGGGGGAGCCGAGCGCCCUCUGCUGGCCCGACACGACCCGGCAGCUCACGGGACCACAGUGGUCCGGAGCAUCCAGCCUCAGACCCCAGAGAAAGGAGAAGCAGCCUGAGGUCGCUGACCUAGACUCCUGACUCCCACGAGUGGGAUGUGCUGUGGUCCAAUCGGAAGAGAGAGCCUCUUUUAAUUGCGUGCAGCAGGAAGAAUUGGGGUCCAGCGGGUGAACUCGCAAGGGAUGUAGCGGGGCUGAUGGACAGGAGACUAAAGAAGUCUCUACUUCUUUGAUUGUGUCAGGGUCCCUGGCCCCAUAGCACCGUGCUACUCAUACACUCAAGGGAAGUCCUCCCUCUCAGAGAACCCUCUCUGGAGAUGUCCUCACAGACACUUCCAAAGUCACCAGUCUCCUAGGUGAUUCUAAAUUGUCAAGUUGACAAUGAAGAUUAAUGGUUACAAAUGGGAAAAAACCACAACUCAAGGAGGUGGAAAGGGCGUUGUUGGAAAAUAACAAAAAUACCAGUUAAGAGUCACAAGGAAGUGCAAAGUUACAAGAGUCACAAGGAAUACCUGCCUCAUCCUAGACAUAAGGCAAAUCCCCCUAGGCAAUUAUGCUUGCCACAGCUGAAUCACCCGG
rnacentral:lncRNA from 1 species